UGAGAAGCUUCGAUUAAGGUUCGAUUCGAGCGCAGCGAGAAAGCGUUGCCGCAGGCAACGACCCGAAGGGCGAAGCGCGCAGCGCUGAGUCAUCCUUCCCCCACCACCA
rnacentral:sRNA from 3 species